rnacentral:lncRNA from 1 species
UUUUUUUUUAAUGUUAAAUGCCCAAAUCACCAAAGCUCGUGUGACCAUGACAGCUUCUGUUUUACCGUUAACCUUGCACAUAAUCUGUAAAAAUGACGAUCUUUUUUUAAGACAAAAAUGUUUCUGCUGGUACACGUAUAUGCCAAUCAUUUCUGCAUAGUGAGAGACCAGACAAAAAUGUUUCUGCAUAAUGGGAAGCAAGGCAUCAGAAACUCGAGAAAAGCUCUUCUCUGAUCCAUAUGGCUCAGUAAUCCAGAGCCCAGAACUGAUCAUCAGAUCAACAGGCCUGAAUAGAGGAUACAGGUUUGCUCCCAGAUAAUGAUAGCAUGGUCUAAAUUGAUAACGUUAGCAAGACUACAUCUGAAGAAUGCAUCGCAACACAAAAACAAACACUUGAGAUCUGACCGUGAAAGCGGCAAUCCGUCUUGCCGCUAGCAACACUGCCAUCUCACACAUCUUGCCUAAUCUCCCUCACUACGUGCUCGCCGAGACGCCACGGACGCCCGAUCGGCCGCUCGCCACGCUGCCGCUGCCGCGGUGAGCGCUGCGUCCACGGUGAGCAUUGACGCCGGAGUUGCCGGUGCGCGACCGGCCGCUUGGCUCCAGCUGCGCAGCCGCCCUCUGCUUGCUCUGCCUGGGCCGGUUCACCGGGCUGCGCGCGCCACUGUGGUGGCUAGGGACCUGCUCGACGACCUCGUCGCCGUUGUUCGACGACCGCGAGCCGCUCCACGUCCGGUCCGUGGACUCGCACGACGGCGUCCACAGGUUGCCGGAGAGGCUGUUGCUCCCCGCGGACUCCUGCAGCUCCAUCUCCCCGCGGCCACGGAUGUCCCGCACCGACACGUACCUGUGCACGCUCGGCGCGUCAAGGUCAUCCCCGCCGGCCGCCGCGUUGACAGAGGCCUUGUCGUCGACGCUCCGAUCGGGCUCGCAGGUGCGGCUCUCUGACGAUGAGGAGUUGAGGUCGGCGACGGCGUCGACGAUGGACUGCGCCUUGGAGACGCAGGCCGGUAGCGUGAAGGAUGGCGGCGUUCCGGGGGUGGCCGUAGCGGAGGUGUGGUAGUUCUGGAUGUCCUCGAGGAGAUGGCUGGCGUACAAGCCGGGGUUCUGGUCGAAGUCGCGCGACGCCCGGCGCGAACGGCGGCCUGACCUCCGUCCUGGGGUCUCGGCCACGAUGCUCACCGUGCGCGUCUCGGUGGUCUUGGACGAAGGCGCUCUAGUCUCUGACACCGCAACCAUGGUCUCCUCCGCCUUCUCUUUCUGAGAACUCUGCUCCUUUGCGCGCUCCGUGGUCUUCCGGGUCGGGGUGGCGACAGUAAUCUCAGUCGAUUUCUGAAUCAGUUUGAAGAUUGUGAGCGGCUGAUCGAAUGUUAAGUCGUGGAGUUACAAAAGAAAUGGCGUUAAAAUUCGAACUUUGCUUGUUUCUUACCUUCUGGGUCUUGGUAUUGGUGCUGCUGUUGUUAUUGCGGAGGGAAUUCUCGUCGAUCUCGGCCAUGGGGCUGCGCCGGAGCGGCGACUGCUCGGCCUUCCUUGACGAGCUCCGGCUCAGCGCCGGCGUUUGCCCCGCCGUCUUCUGUCCCCCUCCAGCAUUCUCAUUGGCCGCGGCCACCCUCGCAGGCGAGCUCGAUCGCGGAGACGCGCACCUCUUCCCGGGCGCGGCCGCGGGCGACGGUGCGCGGCCCUUCUCCCUCGCCGGAACGGCGGCUCCCUCCGCCGGUCCUCUCCCGGCUCCCCGAGCGCUUCCUCUGCGGCGAGCCCCGGUGGGGCGACGGCCUGGACACGGGGACCCCGUUCCUCUCCCAGUCGCCCUCCUCGUCCGCGCCUCCGGCCCCGGACGGAUCAAAGUCGGAGCUCCUCUUGGAGCGGUGCCCGCCCCUCGUCUCGCUCCCGGACGAGCUCCGGCUGAGGCGGCCGCACUGGAUGAGGAUGGCGUCCACCUCCUCCUUGGUGCAGCUGGACGUGCGCACCGGCAUCGGCCCCUUGGCCACCACCACCACCGGCCUCGCCUGCUCCACCUUCUUCUCCUCCUCCCCGCCCGCGGCCGCCUUGUUGGCCUUCACGACGAUCGGCGCCGCCUUCUUGCCGGCCGCGGCAGACUCGUCCGCGUUGGACGCCCUCCUCGGCUGCGGCGCCUUCUUGGCCUUCUCAUCGCCGGCGACCACCGCGGCUGCGGCGACCUUGGCAGGCUUCUUGGGCUUGGUGGUGGCCGCAGGGGCGCUCGGCGGCGGUGGCUUGUCCUGCUGCUUCUUGCUGAAACAGAGCCCCAUGGUGGUGACUCGUCGGAACUACGGAUUGUUGGCGAGCUCCGGAUGCAAGGAAUGGAAAGUCUGGGGUUGGAAGGCGUGGAGCUGGUAUUUAUGCAGAGCUUCGGGGGGAGUGUGAGGGGGGAUUAAGUACGUGAUCGGUGUGCGUGGUGCUUCGUGUUAGUACUCGGUGGUGACGAUGACGGACGGUCACAGCUUGAGGUGAGAUUUGAAAUCCUCUCUCGCGGUGGUGCCCGUUGGAGUUGGAAGCUUUGCUUAGGUGGGGCCUGGCUCCGAUUGGCUCAUCAUCUCGAACCCGUAUCCGCCGGGAUUCAAACGCUACGAGCGAGGGGGGCGCAGAUGCACACACGCUCGUGGAAAGAUGGAUCCCUUUUGGCGCCGUCAUCCGCCCAGAAGGAUCCGACCGUUGCGCCCAGUAAAAUUACUAGUUUUCUUUCCAACGAACGAACCAACGGCAGGAGCAGCCGAGCCGACCGUUGGAGAGGAGCCCGUGUGCAUGCAUGCCAUCGACCUCUCCUCGCUCAAUGCUUCCACUUUUGAUCGGAUCAAAUCGGAUCGGAGCGUUAAUUAAUUGCGCGAUCGCACCAGAGCCAGGGUGGGGGGUCAGAUCGUGUCACCUAAUCACGUGACGGGUGUGACAAAUGGUGGGCACGUGAGCCCAGUACAUCAUCAGGUCAUUGAUCAUCAGGUCAUCUUCUUUAACUCUCGUCUCGUGUGUUGGCCGUGCAAGAAGCAUCAGCCCAGGUCGUGGGGCUGAUGCCCCAGGUGGCAAUCAUGGUUGGCAUUUGCAACGGGACGGGACCACCCGCAGUGAGUGAUACUCCCUUUCCGAGUAUUCUAGAUACAUCCAUUUUCGAGACAAGUAAUUCCGAACGGAGGGAGUACGUUCGAAUGGAUUGCUGGCUUGCCGGUUCUUCCCAGUAUGGGUCAGCAGAACUGGGAAGGCGGAGAGGGAGGGGGGGAAUGCACGGUAACAAAUCUGGAUUAGGGCCAUGGCAAGGUAAACAAACAAGAGAUCAAAAGCUGGAAGCUCAAAUUGACCGUUUUUUUGCCCUGUCCCUUUCUCCUUUUUUUGAAAGCAACUGAGCCUCAAAACAUAACAGCAACACAACGGAAGCGAAUGGAAGACGUGUCAGCGGAACAAUGAAACGCAGUAGAUUUGAGUGGUCACAUGUUCUCAUGACAGAUUAAACCAGAGUCAGGAGGCCUCACGCACAAUGACAGGCCAGGGCCCCUGGCAGCAAACCUCAUCAAAGGCAUCAUCAUCGGUACCGUAGUUUGGUCGAGUUGAACUUGAAUACUGGAUGAACCACAUGCAGGAUGCGUCUAGGACGGUACUGUAUGUGUUUUAAUAUUGGUGGCCCCUUCAUUUGAAUUCGCCAUUCGAGCCCUCUGUAAACAACAAUGCUGAGACUUGAGGAGCACUGUUGCUGUAUGUAUCAUACUCCCAAAUUACGGGUGUAUCUAGACACGCUUUAGUGUUUAUAUACAUUCGUAUCUAGACAAAUCUAAGACAAGUAAUUGGGGACCGACUGGAAACAUGAACAAAAACAUACUUCAUCCGUCCCAAAAUUCUUGUCUUAGAUUUAUCUAGAUACGGAUGUAUCUAGCACUAAAAUGUAAAUAGAUACAUCUGUAUGUAUACAAAUCUAAGACAACAAUUUUGAGACGGAUGGAGUAGAUUAAGUGACUGGCUACUGCGCCAACAAGACCUCAGGGGGCUUCAAAUAAAGGAAACCUAAAGUUAACAAGCCCAGAAUCGAUGUACUCCCUCCGUUCCAAAAUAGAUGACUCAACUUUGUACUAUGUUAGUACAAAGUUGAGUCAUCUAUUUUGGAACGGAGGGAGUACUAGUUUAUAUACUCCCUCCGUUCCUAAAUACUCCCUCCGUUCCUAAAUAUAAGUCUUUGUAGUGAUUCCACUAGAUGGACUACAUACGGAACAAAAUAAAUGAAUAUACACUUAAAAUGCAUCUAUAUACAUCCGUAUGUGGUUCAUAGUGGAAUCUCUACAAAGACUUAUACGGAUAUAUAUAGAUGCAUUUUAAGUGUAGAUUCAUUCAUUUUGCUCCGUAUGUAGUCCACCUAGUGGAAUCCCUAUAAAGACUUAUAUUUAGACUACUCUAGUGAUUUUUCUUGUAGAGUACAGUGAUUUUUCUUGAAUAUUAUGAAAACCUCAUGAGCAAAUUUCAAAUGCCAGAUUUCAGCACAUUCAUCGGUCAUCCACGAUCCAAGAUGGUAUUGGAAAGGCAAAACAUCUGCACGAUUUGAGAACUUCUGGACCAACAUGCCAGGCUUCCAGCAAGUCAUCCUAGAGGCGUGGAACGAGCCCUCCCAGCACCACGAUCCUUUACUAAGGUUAUUCCAGAAGUUGAAGAAGACCAGUCAGAAACUGCGAGUUUGGAGCAGAACCCUCUUCUCCAAUGCCAAGGUCCAACUGCAUAUGGCCUUGGAGAUCAUCCUUCGCCUUGAUGAGGCCCAAGAUGUGCGGAUUCUUAGUCCCGAGGAGGCGGAUCUUCGGAAAAGACUUAAGAGGAGAGUGGUGGGGCUUGCAGUGCUAGAGAGAGCUAGGAAGAGGCAAAGCUCUCGGAUCACCAACAUCAAAGAGGGUGAUGCGAAUACCUGGUAUUUCCACCUUAGGAUUAAUGGUCGGAGACGGAAAAAUCUAAUUCACCGACUCAAACAGGGCAAUGGCUGGGUGACGGAUCAUGACCACAAGAAGAAUAUUGUCCACUCGCAUUUCUCUGAGAUCAUGAAGAGGGGUGCCCCACGCCCAAAGACCAUCAACUGGGCAGCCAUUCCCCGUACUGACCAUGAUCUAUCCAUGCUUGGAGAUGCAAUUACUGAAGAGGAAGUGAAGGCUGCAAUCUUUGCUCUCCCUAGUGACAAAGCACCUGGCCCAGAUGGUUUUACAGGAUAAUUCUUCAAAAGUUGUUGGGAGAUUAUUAAAGAUGACAUCUUGCUCGUGAUCAAUAGCUUCUCCAAUCUUCAAACUAGAAAUUUUCACUGGCUCAACUCGGCGAAUAUUACUCUCGUUCCCAAGAAGGAUGGAGCGGAGGAGAUUUCUGCCUUCCGACCAAUUAGCCUAAUCCAUGCGGUGGCCAAGCUCAUUGCAAAGAUUCUUGCCACUAGGCUUGCUCCCACAUGAACGACAUCGUCUCCAUUGCCCAGAGUGCUUUCAUAAAAAAGAGAAGUAUACAUGACAACUUUAUGUAUGUGCGGAAUUCGGCGAGAAGAUUUCACCGCACAAAAAAACCCAUGCUCCUAUUCAAGCUUGACAUUAGGAAGGCAUUCGACUCUGUUAGGUGGGACUACUUGCUGGAGAUGUUGAGCCACCAUGGUUUCCCUACCCGCUUCCGAGACUGGGUUUCGGCUCUCCUCUCCUCGGCAUCCUCGAGAGUCUUACUAAACGGAAUUGCUGGCGACCCCAUCAAGCAUGGUUGUGGCCUCAGACAGGGUGACCCGUUUUCCCCUUUGCUCUUCGUCCUCGCGAUCGACCCGCUUCACCAUAUCCUCAACAAAGCCACUGCACAUGGGAAGCUUCACCCCCUUCCUGGGAGGCACGCGGGAUUCAUGCCUCCCUGUAUGCCGAUGACGCUGCUGUUUUCUGUGCCCCUUAUAAGGAGGAUGUCCAAUUCCUGUCCACCAUGCUAGCUUCCUUUGGUGAGUCCACGGGCUUGUCCACUAAGUGCGCCAAAAGUAUUGUUGCGCCCAUCAGAUGUGCCAAUGUGGACCUCGAUGAUAUUCUUCAGUCCUUCCCGGCCUGUCGUUCCUUCUUCCCUAUCUGCUACCUUGGUCUCCCUCUCGCGAUCAAGAGACUUAAGAGGAUUCACUUACAACUGCUAGAGGACAAGGCGGCUGGCAAAUUGGUGCCUUGGAAAGGCAAGCAUGUUGCUAUCUCGGGUCACAUGACCUUGGUCAAGGCGGUUCUCAUGGCGGUGGCCAUCUAUCACAUCACUCCGCUGGACCUUCCGGUGGAGGUCCUAAAGGCAAUUGACAAGCUGCGACGUGCCUACCUUUGGGCCGGAACGGACAAGGUUACUGAUGGCAAAUGCAAGGUUAAUUGGGAGCAAGUUUGCAAGGUUACUGGUGGCAAAUGCAAGGUUAAUUGAGGUCUUGGCAUUCUCAAUCUCGGCAAGUUUGCCACUGCCCUCCGGCUUCGGUGGCUUUGGCUAGACUGUGAUGAACCCUCAAGGGCAUGGUGUGGUCAGGAGACGCCGUGCACAGCUGCAAACCGUGAUCUUUUUGCGGCUGCGACCAAGGUGACGAUUGGUGAUGGGAAUAAAGCGAUUUUCUGGGAGUCGUCUUGGCUAGAGGGUAUAAGACCCAAGGACAUUGCACCAAAGAUCUUUGAGAUUUCUCGCAAGAAAGGCGGAACGGUUGCCCAGGCCUUGAGGGAUCAUCAUUGGAUAGCUCAAAUUGACACCCAAAGCGGCCUCACGCUGGAGCAUCUUCAGCAAUUCUCGGCCCUGUGGGAAAAGCUUGCGGGUGUUGUCAUCCAACCGAGCGUCAAAGAUAGCAUUUUGUGGAAGCUCGCCAAUGAUGGCAACUACUCCGCUAAGUCUGCAUAUUUGGCGCAGUUCGCUGGUCUCACCCACUCUAGCUUUCAGGUCUCGGUUUGGAAGGCUUGGGCUCCUCCUAAAUGUAAAUUCUUCGCCUGGUUAGUCAAUCAAAACAGAAUUUGGACCGCGGAUAGGCUGCAACGCCGAGGAUGGCCAAACUGUGACCGGUGCCCGCUUUGCAAUCAGGUGCAAGAGUCAGCAACCCACCUUCUUUUCAAGUGCAGGUUCUCUCUCCGGGUUUGGGAUGAGGUGUUCUCCUGGCUCGGGCUUGCUAUUCCCACGGCUACUUGGCACCAAUUCGGCACAGUUAAAUCUUGGUGGGAUGAGCUACUCUCGAACAACACCCAACCGGUUAAGGCCUUAUCUUCUCUGCUACUUCUUGUGGGGUGGGAACUUUGGAAGGAACGGAAUGCACGCGUCUUCAGCAGCAAGGCGGCGCCGGUGGCGAUCGUCACACGGAUCAUCAAAGAAGAAAUGUCUAUUUGGGCUAUUGCCGAUGCCAAGAAUUUGAGCAAUGUAAUGUCGCGAGAGUAAUUCGUUUAGGCUUUUGCCGUUUAACGGCAUUUCUGUAACAAUACUCUCUUCUUAAUUAAUGAAAAUGGCAAAUCUUUUGCCUAGUUUCAAAAAAAAACAUCUGCUCGCUCAACAUUGAAAUCUUACCUAGAGAGUUUCACAAGGUCCAAUCCUCUGCUCCGACCAUGUUUUUGGGUUUUAAUGAAUGGCAUAACUCUAUAAACGAACAAAAGUAGUUUUGUUGCAGAUAAAUUGGCAACUUCCAAAAACCUUCAUCAUAUUGUCUUGGCUAAAUUCAGAUUUGCCCUUUUGGUGCAAUAUAGUUUGUGUACUGGGUAUUGCUAACCCUAAAAUAUCAAUGUGUUAGAGAAAUAGAUUUCGCAAUCAACAACAACACAAGAAAUGGUCCAUACAUACUAUAUACUGAAAAAUAACAGUUCACAUGUACUCUUGUAGACUAUUCCAACUUUAAUGACAGAAAUUUUAAAUCAUAAUGACAUAUCUGAUGUGACUAAGUUAGCUAGCAAAUCCUAGAACGUGCUCUUUUUUCAUAACCAGGAGCAUGGAUGCUGAGAACUGAUUGCUUAAGAAAUACGUACUACUCCCUCCGUAAACUAAUAUAAGAACGUUUAGAAUACUAAAGUAGUGAUCUGAACGCUCUUAUAUUAGUUUACAGAGGGAGUACUUGGUAUAACAGGGCUAGUUAGAGUACCAAGCGUUGCCCUGUUGGCUUCUACUGUAAUUGCGCACUCUGCCUACCCGCAUCCAAGGCCUAGCCUCUGCACGGUACCUUCGCAUUGCCUUCUCUAUAUAAUAAGCCAGGCUCAGGGGUAAGUUUAUUAACUAGGUACAGUAUGGCUGCAUAUAUUUCUCUUAGAAGAAUAUGAUAUAAAUCUGUCCAAUGUGCUGUUUUACAUUGUUAUUCAAUGUGGAAGUAUGAGCUGGUAUAAAGAACUCUAUGAGGUUACUCGGAACAUUCCACUGAAAGUAUAUAGUACCGUAGAUUGAUGAUGAAAGGAAGCAACUAAAUUUUAGGAUUACCUAUGGUCAGCCAGGAACCUACCUUAGAGCCUUAGCUGUUUGUUCACUCUACAAGCAACAAGUUGGGUUUAGAGAAGUUAUUUCAUGAAUGUUCUUGUAUCCAAAUUCAGACGAACUUUAGCCAUCCAAGUUCAAGUUCACAGGGUUACAGUAAGACCAAAAUAUAUACAUUGAUGUAUAUAUAGCAUUACACUCCAAACACUUGUCGUAUUGUCCAAAAACAAGAUACUUAUUGCCUAAUCGAAUUCCCUCAUAACAGAAAAUAUCUUAUAUAAAUUAUAAAAAUAGCCUAGAUUCAAUAUAUAAAGGAUACAUAUUCCUAGAAGCAACAAUGUGAUUAUACCAGUCAGAUUAAGAUAAGCUCUUGGAACAAAAUUAUCAAGCAUUGGCUGCAAGGAAGAGCAAAAUUAUCGGUGUUAUUUUAGAACUAUCGAUUAUGAUCCAAACAAUUCCGCACAUCUGAGAAAAAAUAGAUGUUGAAUUAGAGGAGGAACAAGGGAACGACAGCAAGCAAGCAAUCAACUUCCUGGUCAUGCGUUCCUAAUUCCAACCCUCUUCAGCCUUCAUCCCUCUCACCACUCACACACACAUCCACCGGAACAAUAUACACACGCCUACGCUGCGGCCAUUAUUAUUGUAUAUGAGGAAGGCGGUCGGCUUACUUGGCCAUGUACAGUUGUUACAGAGAGGUAGGUACAGU